UACGUAGGGGACGAGCGUUGUCCGGAAUUACUGGGCGUAAAGGGCGCGCAGGCGGUGACUUAAGUCUGAUGUGAAAGCCCACGGCUCAACCGUGGAAGGUCAUUGGAAACUGGGUCACUUGAAUAUAGAAGAGGAAAGUGGAAUUCCAUGUGUAGCGGUGAAAUGCGUAGAUAUAUGGAGGAACACCAGUGGCGAAGGCGACUUUCUGGUCUAUUAUUGACGCUGAGGCUCGAAAGCAUGGGUAGGCAAACAGGAUUAGAUACCCUGGUA
rnacentral:rRNA from 1 species